GGAAGCGGGGCUGGCCGUUUCACCCUGACUGAGCUGAACUAGAAACAUUAGCUACAAAGGAGAGAAUUCUCAGUUAAAGGGGCCUUUAGAAGGCAUGAACGUCGACUUCAGCAAUGUAGACUCUUGGCACUGGGGGACUCUUAUUUCAUCCAUAGACUUAUCUGUUUUUUCUUCCAUGGGGUAACUGAGUUCAGACCAGCAGCUGCUCUUUUCCUGGCAUGUGCAGAGAGUGUGGCGAGUGUGAAUUUUACCAUAAGCUAAAUCUCCUGAGAAGCAUCAGCAUUAAGAGUUCAAGAGGCGUUGAUCCAGUUACGUGAAGAGCUAAGAGAAGUUUGCAGACAAGCCCAUCCAACGUGUGGUAAAGGAGUCCUGGACGCCAAGCCGAAAGCAAAGGACACCCGACUGGGGCAUUGGGACCACUGGGACUUACUCCAACUCUGACCUGUUCGGGCCAGAGAUGUCCUUUUCUCCGGAUCCCACAGACUAUGACUGCUCUGAGAACUGGAAGGGACUUUGGGGAACGUCAAAAGAGAGAUUCUACAAACCAUGGCUAGAAAGUUAUGAGAAGCCCUCCACAGCACUGGCAUCCUUGUGAGAAGAGGAAGAGACACCAGCAACCUCUCUUUGCAAGUCAGAGUGGAAAGAGUAGAAAGGCCACGUGAGAACACAGUCAGACUGUAGCCACCUGAAACCCAAGGAGGAGUCUCACCAGACACCAACCCUGAUAGCACCUUGAUCUUGGACUUCCAGUCUCCAGAACUGUGAGAAAAUAAAUUUGUUGUUUAAACCUCCCAGGUUGUAGUAUUCUGUUAUGACAUACCAAGCAGACUUAACACAAGUACUGACACAUGCUACAACAUGAAUAAACUUUUAAAUGAAGCUUUCUACAUGAAAGUUUUUAAACUUUUUUAAACUUUCUACAGGAAA